rnacentral:rRNA from 1 species
GACAGAGGAUGCAAGCGUUAUCCGGAUUUACUGGGCGUAAAGCGCACGUAGGCGGAUCGUUAAGUCAGGGGUGAAAUCCUGGAGCUCAACUCCAGAACUGCCUUUGAUACUGGCGAUCUCGAGUCCGGAAGAGGUGAGUGGAACUCCUAGUGUAGAGGUGGAAUUCGUAGAUAUUCGCAAGAACACCAGUGGCGAAGGCGACUUACUGGACUGUAACUGACGCUGAGGCAUGAAAGCGUGGGGAGCAAACAGG